AGAGAGUGAAGUGGCAGGAUAGACAAAACUUUCUUGGGGAAGAAAACACAUGCACAAAUCCUGGUGUAAGGAAUAUUUUAAGCAUAUAUCUUCAAUAUCAUUCAUCCAGGACCGAGCAAGACCAACACUCUUCCUCCUCCUCUGCCUACUCAAUGUGAAGACAAUGAGGAUGAACACCUUUAUGAUGCUCCACUUCCACUUAUUGAAUAAGUAGUCUCAUUGGCAGUGCCAAAAAAUUCCAGUCAAAUUAGAGUUGUACAGGAAUCAAAAAGAGAUUUAUCUUAAGGCAGAAGAAUGUGAAGAAUUGAGCAAAUAGAAAUGGAGAUUAUGCGAACUCAGUUGUGAAGCUAGAGAUGAACAAUACUUCAAAAGAAGAUCUUUAACCAUGCUAUAUCCUUCAGAAACCAGUUUUGUAUAUAUAUAUAUGCUUUUCA
rnacentral:lncRNA from 1 species